UACGUAGGGGGCAAGCGUUUGUCCGGAUUUAUUGGGCGUAAAGAGCUCGUAGGCGGUGUGUCACGUCGGCCGUGAAAACCUGCAGCUUAACUGUGGGCGUGCGGUCGAUACGGGCAUCACUGGAGUUCGGCAGGGGAGACUGGAAUUCCUGGUGUAGCGGUGAAAUGCGCAGAUAUCAGGAGGAACACCGGUGGCGAAGGCGGGUCUCUGGGCCGAUACUGACGCUGAGGAGCGAAAGCGUGGGGAGCAAACAGG
rnacentral:rRNA from 1 species